UCUUCAUCAGUGAAUCAGGGAAACUAACUGUGUUUCUGAAAUCUGAUUUGCAAUGUCUUUGUUCUAUUGAGUUCUCUUCUUUCUUAAAAAGGUUGCAAUAAUUGUACAGCCCUUAUGCAAGAGGUGUUUCCUUACAGCUUUAAGUAUGACCCAAAUUUUAAAAAGUUGUAUUUUCUAUUUACAGCUAGAGAGCUUACUAUUUCAAAGGAAUCCUGUGAUAAUUCUUAUGGCCAAAAAAAAAUCUGCAGUGUGAUUAGUUUAUUAUCACCCUAAUUUAUUUGAUUUCUUAAAUAUUGAAAAAUAUAGAAUAUUAAAUAUCAAAGCCAGAGCAGACUGCUUAUAAAAGGCAUUUUCAGAAAGUGUUUAAAUAUUUUUCUAUUAGAAUUCUCAGUGGUAUGGAUAAGACUCCCCACUGUUAUGACUUUGGAUAAUGACAAAGACUCUAUUCCCCUACUCUCACAAUUAGAGAACCCCAGGGUGAUAAGCGGGGGUUAUUUCAUUUUUAAAGGUGUGAAUAAACCUUGAGUGAAUUGAUAAUAGUUAUUGCCAUGAUGGAGGCAGGGCAGUAGUUGAACUAGGUCCAUGGAUGGAAUUCAGUGGUCUGAUUUUCAGUUUCUCACUGGCCAGUAAUGGACAUUAUUCCUUUCCCUCUCUUAAUCAGAUAACAUCUGGGGAUUCAAUGGGCCAGUUGCUUUUGAGAUGAUUCUCACCACAGCAUGGAGAGAUUCAAUUUCCACUUGCAGAUCUUCCUCCAACUAGAAGAAAGCCAACAACAACAAUAACAACAACAACAACAACAAAAGCACUCUUGAAAGUGAGUGAACUAUUCCAACACUUAAAUCAAAUAUCCCAGUGAAUUUGCUUCAUCUACGAUGCUGAUAACUCUUUAUGAAGACCGAAAAUGUUAUCCAGAAGUUAAAUUAUAUGCUGCAUUGAAAAGGAAAUACUGUACCUCAGAGAGGCCGAGACAGGAAUUGGAUAGACAUGGAUUGUCUCCUUAUCCUGGAAGAUGCCUGUCUGUAUGAAAUCAUUACCUGGAUCCUUGUUGAGAGCACGGUCUCUAUCUGAUUUCUGGUACAUUACAGAUGAAGCUAUGGCUGGAAGUAAGCGCUAAGAGAGUAUGAGAGCUGACCGUUAACAUUUCCAACGUUUUAAUAAGGUUGAAGAAAUACGAUCAGAUGGUCCCUGAGCAGGAUGUGUUCAUUGAGGUAAGAUGUAUUGUGGGGUUACUCCUUCAUGAGUAAACAGAGUUAAUGAUAGCUCCUACUUGUAAAUAUAACAUUUGUGCAGCUCUUCUAACUUUAAAAACCACGUUUACGACUGUCAUUCCGUUCAGUAGUCACAAUCCCUGUCAUUUUGUAACGUGUAAAGAUGACAAGCCUGAGGCAGGAGGGGUUAGGGCAUCUUUCCCAAGGACGUAUGGUGAUGUUAUGGCAUCCUUGGGACUGGGACUUUGACUCCUUGGCUGUAUUCCAAAUAUUGUCCCAUCUGCCCCUGCAUUAUGUCUCUCCCCACCUAAAUUCCUUGUUUAGCCUGGCAAGCUGGUUGUUAGAUAUGACUCAAAAUAUUUUUGAGAUUAGAUCUAUCACUGUUGUUAUUUGUAGAGUGGCUUGGCUGAAAGUGUAUCUGGAGUGUAGUUCAGGAAAUAAUCAAUCUUUGGCUCUAGUGCUCACAGGGCCUUUGAAUGUGCACCAUGCUCUUUUAAUUUCUGAAUUAACUCACUACUGGCCGUCCAAUCUAUGCUGGGCAUUCCCACAGUCGCCUCCAAAGAAAGCUGGCAGACCAGAGCCCCUGCUGAGAGGCGAGUUUCCGGGUCAUUCUUGUACUCUGUUUCAUUUGACCCACGCCUCCUCCACCCUCCCCACUGGUCACAGUGGAUUGGCCUGGGCUGGACACUUGACCUAAGGAUAAACAACCUGUAGGUCAGAGACCUAUGAGGUAGCCUGACGCAAAAGCUCUGACUGAAGAGCAUCACUUAUGAUUAUUUAGGACAAACUGAUUCUCUUUUUUUGGUAAUUGCAACUGAGAAAUAGGAAGAGAAUCAGGCAUUGAUAGUGGGAGGAGAAUCAGGAAAGAAUUAAACUCCUGUUGCUUUAUCUGGCUCCUGCUGUUCUCUGCCUAAAAUACAGAGAGCUGAACUAGAUUCCCCGGAGGACAGGCCUGGCAAUCUGCAUCUGAAACGAGCCUCUCGGGUAUUUCUACCCUAUAGCAGUGCUUUCGAUAGAAAUAGAAUGCAAGCCACAAAUGCAAACCACGUAUGUAAUUUAAACUUUCUAGUUGUCAUAUCAAAAGAUAGAAACAAGUGAAAUGAAUUU